GCCCGGCGAAAGCCGGAUUAAUACCGCAUACGACCUGUGGGUGAAAGCGGGGGAUCGCAAGACCUCGCGCUAUUGGAGCGGCCGAUAUCAGAUUAGCUUGUUGGUGGGGUAAAAGCCUACCAAGGCGACGAUCUGUAGCUGGUCUGAGAGGACGACCAGCCACACUGGGACUGAGACACGGCCCCAGACUCCUACGGGAGGCAGCAGUGGGGAAUUUUGGACAAUGGGCGCAAGCCUGAUCCAGCCAUGCCGCGUGCGGGAAGAAGGCCUUCGGGUUGUAAACCGCUUUUGUCAGGGAAGAAACGGCCAUCGCCAAUACCGGUGGCUAAUGACGGUACCUGAAGAAUAAGCACCGGCUAACUACGUGCCAGCAGCCGCGGUAAUACGUAGGGUGCAAGCGUUAAUCGGAAUUACUGGGCGUAAAGCGUGCGCAGGCGGUCAUGCAAGACAGAUGU
rnacentral:rRNA from 1 species